UGACAGAAAAGCUGAACGUGAGCCACACA
rnacentral:piRNA from 1 species